rnacentral:tRNA from 1 species
AAGCUAGUACCUCAGAGGAUAAGAGAUUAAGUUUCCGAAACUUAAAGUCGAGAGUUCGAAUCUCUCCUAGCUUA